UGGAGUAUGUGGUUUAAUUCGAUGCAACGCGAAGAACUACCUGGUCUUGACAUCCCGGAGACCCUUAGGAAACUAGGGGUGCUUCCAUCUGGAAGAAUCUGGAGACAGGUGCUGCAUGGCUGUCGUCAGCUCGUGUCGUGAGAUGUUGGGUUAAGUCCCGCAACGAGCGCAACCCUUGCCUUUAGUUGCCAGCAGUUCGGCUGGGCACUCUAAAGGGACUGCCGGUGUUAAACCGGAGGAAGUGGGGGAUGACGUCAAGUCCUCAUGGCCUUUAUGACCAGGGCUACACACGUACUACAAUGGCCGAUACAAAGGGCAGCGACACUGCGAGGUGAAGCCAAUCCCGUAAAAUCGGUCUCAGUCCGGAUUGGAGUCUGCAACUCGACUCCAUGAAGUUGGAAUCGCUAGUAAUCGUGGAUCAGCAUGCCACGGUGAAUACGUUCCCGGGCCUU
rnacentral:rRNA from 1 species